UGCUCAGAUGAAUAAAAAUCUUGAAGUGAACAUUGUCAAAUUCAAUAAUACCCCAUGUAAGUCCAGAGGCUUUGCAUUUGCUUCAUCUCUAAUUUUUAGCCCUCUCUUGUGCACUUUGUGGAGAUGUCUCAAUUUGGUGCUCUGUUGGGUUAUGAUUAGGAAUAGAAUAGAAAUGUAAUUCACCCGGUUUAGUAGAAUUUUGAGAAUCUCUUUUUAAUUUUUUUUCUCAAAUAAAUUUAAUUAGUUUGACAACAAUAAUUCUUAAAAUAUAUCUUUAAAAAUUAUUUUCUUAAAAUUAUUAUGUCACUAACACAGUCAACAAUAAUGACUGUGCGCCCAUCAUCCAGUCAGGCUUAAGAUGCCCUCCAAGAGGAUCCACCAGCAUUUGGCUAUCUGUAAAGAUGGAUAGAAAAGACAAUGGUUUAGCAAUGGUUUAGCUAAAAAAUUGACACUGGUUGACUGCUUAGAUGUGUUAGUGACAUAAUAUUACUAAUUAUUGACUAAGCCGGAACUCCAAUACUUUUAAACCACCUAUUUACUUACUUGAAUAUCAAAUUGCUAGAAAAUUAUAAAAGAUGAAAGAAACAAACGAAAAUAAAUAAAAAAACAAUGCACUAUUAAACCCACAAAAGGUCUCUAUCAAAUACUUGUAUCAUGUAAGAAGACAACACUAAGUAAAAUCUCAGUCACCAUUUAAGUCAAAACCAUAUCACUUGAAAUAAUUGUAUUAAUGGAAUUUUGGUUUAACAAUUCCAAAAGACUCUUCCUACUUAACAUAUUUUUAUGUAAAUAUGUACCUUUUUAUAGCCUCUCACUUGUGUCUCACUGUG